rnacentral:rRNA from 1 species
UACGUAGGGACCGAGCGUUGUCCGGAAUCAUUGGGCGUAAAGAGCGUGUAGGCGGCUAUUUAAGUCCUGCGUGAAAUCCUGCGGCUCAACCGCAGACGGUCGUGGGAAACUGGAUGGCUAGAGUGCGGGAGAGGAAAGCGGAAUUCCUGGUGUAGCGGUGAAAUGCGUAGAUAUCAGGAGGAACACCGGCGGUGUAGACGGCUUUCUGGACCGUAGCUGACGCUGAGACACGAAAGCGUGGGUAGCAAACAGG